CUGCACUGAUGACCUUCUUAGGACACCUUUGGAUCAAAGAUGAAACUAAACUUUCAGUCUGAGCAGC
rnacentral:snoRNA from 1 species